rnacentral:rRNA from 1 species
AGAGGUAAACGGGUGGAGUUGAACUGCAUGCUCCGUGAAUUCAGCUGGUGAGAUUGUUGUGGGGCUUGGUCAAGUAGGGUAGACACUGAGGUAUGCUUAGCUGCAUGUCCCGGCCUGCAGGUUGGGAUGCGCGAUACGCUCAUCAUGCGUUGCGCGCCUCUGUUGUUUAUCUGCCCUCUCGCCAGUGCAUUUUCGCGGAGCGUUCACCAAGACCGGCGUUGCUGUCCGUCUGCUUUAGUUAAACCGGUCUUACGCGUCGUUAUGGCGUUGUUUGGUCGGGACGGCAGGUAGCCUGUUGGCUUGCUUCGCUUGCUUUCGGGUAUAAUCAGCUGACUAAAGCGGAACUGUGCAGUGCGUCGGAGCUGGCGGCCAGUUGUGCAUGCUCGUGCGUCGUGCCUUCCGAAGGAUUCUGUAUUGAUCUCCAUGUUGCCUGUCUCGGCAGGUCUGGUGAUACACGGAGUUCUCUUGGUUGGUGGUACCGCGGGUAGCACUUAGGGCCAAUAGUCUUUGGUGUCGUGGUAGACUAUCCACCUGACCCGUCUUGAAACACGGACCAAGGAGAGUAACAUGUGCGCGAGUCAUUGGGUGUAACGAAACCCAAAGGCGCAGUGAAAGUAAAGGACUGACUUGUUCAGUCUGAGGUGAGAUCCUGUUGUUUCUCAUGCCUGGUACCACCAAGCUUGGAGCGACAGGCGCAUCACCGGCCCGUCCCAUGAUGUAGACACGGUCAUUGUACUCGUGCACCGUCGGGGCGGAGCAUGAGCGCACACGUUGAGACCCGAAAGAUGGUGAACUAUGCUUGCGCAGGUUGAA